rnacentral:rRNA from 1 species
GACGAACGCUGGCGGCGCGCCUAACACAUGCAAGUCGAACGAGAGAUGAGGAGCUUGCUCUUCGAAUCGAGCGGCGAACGGGUGAGUAACGCGUGAGGAACCUGCCUCAAAGAGGGGGACAACAGUUGGAAACGACUGCUAAUACCGCAUAAGCCCACGGCUCGGCAUCGAGCAGAGGGAAAAGGAGCAAUCCGCUUUGAGAUGGCCUCGCGUCCGAUUAGCUAGUUGGUGAGGUAAUGGCCCACCAAGGCGACGAUCGGUAGCCGGACUGAGAGGUUGAACGGCCACAUUGGGACUGAGACACGGCCCAGACUCCUACGGGAGGCAGCAGUGGGGAAUAUUGCACAAUGGGGGAAACCCUGAUGCAGCGACGCCGCGUGGAGGAAGAAGGUCUUCGGAUUGUAAACUCCUGUUGUUGAGGAAGAUAAUGACGGUACUCAACAAGGAAGUGACGGCUAACUACGUGCCAGCAGCCGCGGUAAAACGUAGGUCACAAGCGUUGUCCGGAAUUACUGGGUGUAAAGGGAGCGCAGGCGGGAGAACAAGUUGGAAGUGAAAUCCAUGGGCUCAACCCAUGAACUGCUUUCAAAACUGUUUUUCUUGAGUAGUGCAGAGGUAGGCGGAAUUCCCGGUGUAGCGGUGGAAUGCGUAGAUAUCGGGAGGAACACCAGUGGCGAAGGCGGCCUACUGGGCACCAACUGACGCUGAGGCUCGAAAGUGUGGGUAGCAAACAGGAUUAGAUACCCUGGUAGUCCACACCGUAAACGAUGAUUACUAGGUGUUGGAGGAUUGACCCCUUCAGUGCCGCAGUUAACACAAUAAGUAAUCCACCUGGGGAGUACGACCGCAAGGUUGAAACUCAAAGGAAUUGACGGGGGCCCGCACAGGCAGUGGAGUAUGUGGUUUAAUUCGACGCAACGCGAAGAACCUUACCAAGUCUUGACAUCCUGCGACGCACAUAGAAAUAUGUGUUUCCUUCGGGACGCAGAGACAGGUGGUGCAUGGUUGUCGUCAGCUCGUGUCGUGAGAUGUUGGGUUAAGUCCCGCAACGAGCGCAACCCUUAUGGUCAGUUACUACGCAAGAGGACUCUGGCCAGACUGCCGUUGACAAAACGGAGGAAGGUGGGGAUGACGUCAAAUCAUCAUGCCCUUUAUGACUUGGGCUACACACGUACUACAAUGGCGUUAAACAAAGAGAAGCAAGACCGCGAGGUGGAGCAAAACUCAGAAACAACGUCCCAGUUCGGACUGCAGGCUGCAACUCGCCUGCACGAAGUCGGAAUUGCUAGUAAUCGUGGAUCAGCAUGCCACGGUGAAUACGUUCCCGGGCCUU